rnacentral:misc_RNA from 1 species
GCACAGCCAAACACAGCGCCGUCGAGUCUCCAAGAGCAGUUGUCAAGGACUACCUCGCCAAAUAAAAGAGACAUGCAAGACCAAAGCAAGGUCCCCUACAAGAGCCUUCCUAGAAGAAGCAAAAAAGUUGGGCGGUAGAACCAUCAACAACCAAAAAUCACAGAACCCAGGCCUAGGAAACAAGAGAAGUCAUGGAUCAUCACUAAAAAUGGUAGAGGUGGUAGUGAUAGUUUUCUUUGACGUCUCACUCAUGCCUUCCGGGUGACCCUUCGAUGUUUUUUGGAGCCCAACAAGCUGCUGCCGACCAGAGUCUGUCCCUCUCCCCCAUCGGCGAUAAAGCUUAGACCAACAAUCCACAGUCUCCCCUAACCACCUACAACCACUAACACAUCUUGCAAAAAGUCAUUGCACAUCAAACAACAAAAGACAAAAACA